rnacentral:rRNA from 1 species
CGACCGGCGCACGGGUGCGUAACGCGUAUGCAACCUACCAUCAACAGGGGGAUAACACUGAGAAAUUGGUACUAAUACCCCAUAAUAUCUCAUGCGGCAUCGCAUGGGGUUGAAAACUCCGGUGGUUGAUGAUGGGCAUGCGUUGUAUUAGCUGGUUGGUGAGGUAACGGCUCACCAAGGCGACGAUACAUAGGGGGACUGAGGGGUUAACCCCCCACAUUGGUACUGAGACACGGACCAAACUCCUACGGGAGGCAGCAG